ACUACAGCACAAACUCUCGUGGGGGCGAGGAUUUUGGAGGUGUCCCUGUUUAUAUCCACGAAUGGGAUAAGAAAUACCAGCACGAAAACGUGAAGUUCUGGGAAGGCAAAACAUUCCAGCUACAGGAGGGGCUCAUGCUUUUACAUUUAGGUGACCAUUCUGCUAGUGCUCAAAUCCUCCACUGAACCUCAAGGGAGGGGUGUUUUAUUCACUGGAGAUAUCUUACAGUCCAUGUUUGAUUUGUAAGUGGGGAUGGACAACAAAACAGUGAGCAUAAUGAGAUCAUAUCCAAACUAUGUACCACUCUUGUCGAGCCAUGCUAAAAGGAUAGGCCAGUUAAUUGAGCCAUGGGAUUUUGAGAGGCUCUACAGUGUGUUUUAUGACAGAGAGAUUGAAGAGAACCCAAAGAGCUGCGUCGUAUUCUCUCUGCAAAGGUAUAUUGAU